rnacentral:rRNA from 1 species
AUUGAACGCUGGCGGCAGGCUUAACACAUGCAAGUCGAGCGGGGAAAGGUAGCUUGCUACCUAACCUAGCGGCGGACGGGUGAGUAAUGCUUAGGAAUCUGCCUAUUAGUGGGGGACAACAUCUCGAAAGGGAUGCUAAUACCGCAUACGUCCUACGGGAGAAAGCAGGGGACCUUCGGGCCUUGCGCUAAUAGAUGAGCCUAAGUCGGAUUAGCUAGUUGGUGGGGUAAAGGCCUACCAAGGCGACGAUCUGUAGCGGGUCUGAGAGGAUGAUCCGCCACACUGGGACUGAGACACGGCCCAGACUCCUACGGGAGGCAGCAGUGGGGAAUAUUGGACAAUGGGGGGAACCCUGAUCCAGCCAUGCCGCGUGUGUGAAGAAGGCCUUUUGGUUGUAAAGCACUUUAAGCGAGGAGGAGGCUACCGAGAUUAAUACUCUUGGAUAGUGGACGUUACUCGCAGAAUAAGCACCGGCUAACUCUGU